GCUGCAGGAUGGUGCUGUGGUGUGACUGGAGGUGCUCAUGCUGGUCUAGGUGUGUAUGUGUGAGCAUUGAUUCCAAAAUACCUUUCAAAAACUUGGUUGGCAUGAACUGCGCAGAGCUGCAAGCCUCUCGGAUGCCAAAGUCUCUUAAAGGAGGUUAUCCAUGGAAGAACAAGAGGAGUAAUAUGCAAAUGUGCAAGAAAGAUUUUUAAAGUCACUUUUAUUAAGAAAAAUGUGCAAGCAUGCAUCCCUCAAGACAUUGAAUGAGUGUCCCUAAAAAGGGAUUUACCAGGGAUGUUGGUGGUGAGAUUCUCUCUGGGGAAACUACCAUGUUCUCCCUCCUCAUAAAUGCUUUGUUUUCAUCCAUUUUACGUUCGUGUUUUUAAGUUAUGCUAUUUUCAGUCAAGGCUAUGUGUUGGUGGCAUACUUGUCCUGGAAGGUGGCAGACCCUACUGAUCAGUGACACAGGCAGCAAAGCUGGUUUCUGCCUUCCCUGACAUCCAGAUGCAGGAGCUGAGAGAAAUACUGUGUCUCUGGAGAUGAAGGGUCCCUGCCGAGUGACAUUUUCUCUGCCUGAUGUAUUGCUCUGCACCUGUUGCCAAGUGAUGAGGUGUGAGCCUGCCAGCCGUGCUGCGCCUGAGGAGCGAGCCCGAUGGCACCCGCUCGGCUGCCGUGCCCUCCUGGGGACGGGGCAGCGCUUCCAGGGGUGAGCUGCUGGAACAAGAGCCGGGCCACUUCUGCCACUCGGUGCUCUGUGUCCAUUGCAUCCGAGCCCUGCUGUGUGCUGCCUGCUCUGGAAGUGUUGAGUACGUUCCCCUGCAGCCUGAGUGCCAGCUGAGGCUGAGCAAGAAGUGCUCAAAUGGUAGAGACUCAACCGUGUUAAUUUGGAUAAUACUUAAAAAAAAAAAAAAAGUAAAAAGUAAGCACCAGCGUAUGUUUAUAGCCUGGAUAAAACUGCAUUGUGGAGCCCUGUAGCAAUGAUGUGCUGGAGGUCUGUGGUUGCUCUAACAGGUCCUGCGGUCCCAGCAACUUCAGGGGAAUGCUAAGAUGGCAGUCGCAGAGAUGUUUAAUUGUUUUCUGGAUUCUUCAGUCUGGUCAAUUUAGUGGCUUGAAAAAGACAGAAGAGUCUUAUUCCUGUAAAUAAACCUCCACACACCCAUUUGUAAACAAACACAUAAAUCCAGGUUUAGCAACAUAGUUAAAUGCUGUUGAAAGUUCUCAGCAACUCCCUCCUUGAUGAACUGUGAGUUUCAAAACCAUGGUGCAAAAAAAAAAGUCUUGCAGCUGCAAUGGUAUCAAGAUGAGCCCAAGCUUCGUUAGAACAAAUGCCAUUUGUUUAAAAAUAGAAAUAUUAUGCCAUCUUCCAGCAGCAGAAAUGAAAUAAGCUAUUAAAGGAUUAUGAUUCUGUGACUUCAGACCUAUUGUAGUCUUAAUAUUUCAUGGUGCAUUGACGUAGAGUACAUAAUAUGCUGAACAGCACUGUUGGCUUCAGCUGUUGCAAACAGUAUGGUGCAGAAAUAAUUGAACUAAAAAGAAAUUACAGCUAUUCAGAGAGGUAGCAACUCUGCUGUGUAGAUGCGAGAAUGUAGGUGCUGAGCCAAGCAUGCACUUAAAAAUAACAAUUGUUUUUGAUGGAAAAAAUUUAGGUAGAUUCUCUCUUUUAGGUAGAAAAAAUUAGGUAGAUUUUGCUGGCAUGGUCGUUUAUGGUAGGACCAAGUAGGAGUCAGAUGCUGUACUGCCCUGCCAAUGGAGGGAGAUCUGACUUGUCAGCAAUAUAUAAGGGCAAAGAGUAUGGAAUAUGAGGCCUUAUCUAUACAGAGAAUGACAUUCAUUUAAGGAACGCUGGUGUGGAUCUCUGUUUAUGCUUUUAAGUCUUAGAUGUAUCAUCCAGUUACUGCAGCUUAACAAGUCGCUGUUUGUCAGCGGUGCUGUUAAGUAACUGUUUACGCACUCUUAACCCAGCGUAGAUAUGACAUAAACCAUGUCAGAUUACAUCUUUCAUCUGGUUUUAUUCAGUUCAUUUAGCUUAAACUAGUUCCUAGUCCUUAAACAAAACCCAAACAGAGCUAGUUUCCAUCAAAAUAGCUGCCUGUACAGACUCUUCUUGUAUCUUAACCAAGCUGUAUUUUAAGUCAAACUGGGUAAACAUGUGUAGGCGAUUCCUUGGGCUCAGACAUUGCACAUCAGCAGAAAAAUCUUCUCCUGUAGUCCUGUCUGACUGCUUUGGUGAAACAUGGAACUGCAGAGGUGGAAGGGAGAAAGCGACUGGGAGGGGAUGCCAAGCAAAGGCAGCAGGAGCCAUCCAGGGUGCUGCCCUAGGCACCUCGGGCAUACCACGAGACCCUGGUCACCCUCUCAGAGCACUGUCAGCCCUGCCAAUGGCUUGUGUCACCCCGCAGCCUCCACAGGAGCGUUUCGGGUGCCUCAGGGUACUUGAAGUGGCACAAGCUGCCUGCACAUGAGCAGCUGAAUGGCACACGCCUGACUCUGGCCAUAAGCACAGCUGUUCCGUGGUGGUGCCCCCUGAGAGCAAGUCUGUGCUGCCUUCCUUUGCAGUCCUGUUGAAUACAAGGUGGUGUAGAUUUAUGCAGGACCUAAAUGUUGCAUGUUCUUUGUGAUGGGUUUCUGUACCGCAGUGACUAUAUAUUUUCAGCUCAGCCUUUUGUUCUCCCCCAACUGCCCAUCUUACCCAUGAUCCCUUCCAACAGGGGGAAGAUUUUACUCGAAGGAUGUUUGGAUUCUAAACCUUCUCUUGUCUGACUGAGGCUUGCCCAGACGCAAUAUAAACAGCCAGUUAAUUUUCACUGUUGUCCCCUCACCCCCAAUCAAAAACAUACAGUUUUGAUUCCUGUAUCAUGUACAUGCCAUCCAUUCAGAGGAAGAUCUAUCAUUUGGGGGUUUUGAUGCCUAUGACCAGUAAAUCAGAGGGUCCUGCCCUUGCUAGCAAGACAUUUUAACAAGCUUUUAGGGAGGUUGUGUGUGUGAGAGAGAAUUGAGAAGCAGUCUGUUUUUUAGCCUUCUGGAUUCCUUUGACUGCCAGUGGCAAAUGUCUUAUCUUUUUAAAUACCCUACUUUUUAAUAUUACUGUUGUGUUUAAUAUAAAUUGCUCUGUUUUGUUUUUAUCUAAAUAACACCAGAAUCUGGGAGGGAGGAAGCAAUGGCUUGCGAGAGGUUAGGACCUUUGAUUUUCUCCUUGCAGCUGUCAGAAGUCUCCUGUCUCUGGCUACAUGUUCUGAGCAGAGGUAUAAUCAUCAAUCUGGAGACAUCUAAUUAGGCUCACUCCUCCCCGCCUGCCUGCUGUGGCGUGAAAGCCUUUGCCUGGCAGAGCUCUCAGGCUGACAAACAGGCGCUUCUGCGCUCACAAGAGACAUGCCAGUGGUAGCGGGGUGCUACUAGCUGGAGCCUUUUGUAGCAAUAUUACCCAAUUUCUCAGAGCUGCACCCCUUGCUGUGCAGCCAAGCUGCCCCAUGUUGCUGAGGGCAAAGGGGAGGAAUGGCUAAGUGCAGUGACAGAGGGGUGCCAAGCUCAGCGCCUCCUGUCAUCGCGGUGACAGCGUGAGGACUGCUCGAACAGUUAGGAGUUUUCACCCAGGAACAGAGUGGAAGCCCACUGAAUGGGAAGCUCUCAGAUUUGGAAGGGAAGGGGACUAAAGACACUAAGACACGUACCCAGGGGCUUGGGGGGCAGUGUUGGUUUGGGAUGGAAGUUCCCAAGGAGAUCAGACUGGAUUGGCACUUGCAAUGUUAUCUGGAUUUCUUGCAAUGUCUGCUGGAUUGCUGUUUCUUUCAGAUGCAUGCUUUCCCUCUCCUCACAUAAACCCAACACGCCAAAAGUCCACUUAACCAAGAGUUAUAUUGCUCUAAAUGUUAAAGGAGUGAGAUGAGUGUACCUGGGCUAUAACUGCAUAUGGAAAAGAUGAGGACUAGAUCCUCUCUGCCUUUAAACCUUUAGUCAGAGUGGCCCGUCAGGAAUGUGUGGACCCUUUCUGGAUGGAGUACAAGGUGGAUGACACAGCCAAGAGCAGGUACCAGAGUAUAAAAGGGUCUGAGCUGUGAUGCAGAAUGGGCAGAAGCAGCCAACUGAAUCCCCAAAGCUCUGCUGGCCUUCACCCAAGCUGUCUUUGACGCAAGGAUUUGUCUUUUGCUUCUGUACGGCCUCUAGCACAAAGGAGCCCCAGUACGGCAGAAGUGACAGCAAUAGCAACACAUCAGGUAUGUCUCCGGUAUAGGCAUAGCCUAUUGCUUGAGGGAUUAGAAAUGUGGUUCUUGUUGCUAAUAAUUAUGGAGCUUGACAUUCAUGUUGUUUCCACCCCUGUCCCUGUGUUGCUCCCUACGCAAAGCCACCUGGCCCUCUGUGUAUGUGCACAAACAACCAUGGGACACAAAAUCAGCCACGGCGUUUUCAGUUGCACCUGCCCUAGCCAAAUGUUUCCUCAUCUCCUGGUCCUGCUUCGUUCCCCAGCCCGAUCACCAGUGCUCUGCCAGCCAGCUCACAUGUGCAGUGUUCUGGCUGUCAUACAGAUUUGCCUUGAGUCACAUCCUUCAUUUUAAGGUAUUUUGACUGCCUGGUUCCUCAUCACCUCCCGCUGCCGUUCCUGCCCUGACUGCAGCUAGCUCUGUGCCUCUUGCUUGGCUUCCCUGUCCGCCUCCAGAGCAGUGGCUACUGACUGCUGUUGGAUCCGUGUUUUGGAUUAGCUGGACCUCAGGUCUGAUCCAGUCUGGCACUCGCUGCAUUCCUGUAUUUCUUUGAGCUGUUAACUGCUGAGCUGCCUGUCACUCACACGGUGACAUCUGUCACUCAUGUACUUACUGUCUGUGUGACAAGAAAUGUGACUGAGUAAGGCUCCCGGGAGGAGGCUGACAAAAGGGAGGGAGGAGAGGCAGGCAGAGGCUCCUCUGGUGCCCGAUCUCCAGGAACACAAUGUUGUUUAAGAAAUAGAA